UUUAGCAAUGGUUGGUCCUAGCCCAAGUAAACUCAUCUUACUCGUCAUGGACUCUUGCGUUGGCCCACUCACUCAUCUCCGCCUGUUCAGCUUAAGUUUGUAAUAGGAAUAAAGAAGGUUCUCAAGGGAAGGUAUUGUCACAUAUAAGAGAAGUAUAAGGAAUAAAGGAGGAGGUAAUGCUGAGAAGGUUAGUUGAAGAGCUGCAGAAGAAGACUAAUUGAAGAAUUGCAAUAGAAGGCUAAGAGUAAUGUUGAUUGAAAUAGUUGGCUGAGGAAAUUGGAAGAGAGUAGGUUCGAGAAUAGGGCUAUUUUGGAGGUAAAUGAGUAUGUUAUGUGUAGUGAACUGGAAUAACUGAUAGGUAGUUAGCAAGUCAAAGGCAGUGACAAGAAUAGGAAAUAUAAGUAGAACUAUACCUGUAUAACUGAUAAUCUUGGAUUCAAUAAAGAACUUCUGUCUCUCUUCAGUUUUCCCUCUCUAAUUCUCUCUCUCUUAACUUCUUUCUUGAUUCUUUCUGCCAUUCCUAUCUUCUUUUCUUCUAUUUAUUGAAGGCAGAACCCUGAUUUUAGGGUUUCUGCUGACAAUUUAUUAUUUAUUUAGUUGAAAUUUUUUAAUUCUCACAUAGAUUGUGAUGCGUGUCUAAUGUUGAUUGGUGUUGU
rnacentral:misc_RNA from 1 species